CAGUAGCCGCGGGAAUACGGAGGAUCCAAGCGUUAUCCGGAUUUAUUGGGUUUAAAGGGUGCGUAGGCGGCCUAUUAAGUCAGGGGUGAAAGACGGUAGCUCAACUAUCGCAGUGCCUUUGAUACUGAUAGGCUUGAAUGUACUUGAAGUGGGCGGAAUGUGACAAGUAGCGGUGAAAUGCAUAGAUAUGUCACAGAACACCGAUUGCGAAGGCAGCUCACUAAAGUAUGAUUGACGCUGAGGCACGAAAGCGUGGGGAUCAAACAGGAUUAGAUACCCCCGUAGUCCCUGUCUCUUAUAA
rnacentral:rRNA from 1 species